UCUGGCCUAGUUCGCUCCUGGUUUCCCACUGAAGAUAAGCAGGGUUGAACCUGGACAGGACCUGGAUGGGAGACCUCUUGGGGAAAACUAAGGUUGCUGCUGGAA
rnacentral:rRNA from 1 species